CUCAGAAUACUGAGAGAUGCAGUUGUGAUGUUUGAUUUUUAUUAUUAUUAAAUAAAUUAGAUUAAUUGUACCGCAUGCUGGAAGACAUUAGGGAACUACUUCACUUGCCUGCACUUGCCUUUAGUAUAUUCUCAAAUUUGUACCUGUCAUUCUUCAAACCCAUUGGACAAGGUCUGGGGGAGGGACUUAAUUUCAUCCAAUAGACUGUAUGGGAUAUGUUGAAGGGGCCACUAGUUCCAUUUCCUGUACUCUCCCUAUAGUUCCCCUCAGUCUUCACAGCACAGUUCCUGUUUCAUUGUAGUGGAUGUGAUGUGAUGAAUGAACAUUCAUUUGACUGGGAUUUGUUCUCAGGUAAGCGCAAGUGUCCAAAAAGAUGGUUUGAGUUUCAGUCACAAUGCUUCCUGAUUGACUAGACUGCGAGGACCUGGCGUGAAGCAGAGCACAACUGUGUCUCUGGGCCGGAACCUAGAGUCUGAGCAUGAUUCCGACAGCUACUCUAGACACUUGGCAUCGGUGCACAACCCUGAGGAAUUCCAGUUCCUGCAGGCACUAACACAGACUGUGAGCCUCCUGCUCUGGAUUGGAGGUUCAGCCCAGAGAAACCCUGGAAUGAUGCAACAUGUGGAAUGAAGUUUCCCUCCCUGUGUUCUCUAAGGACAGAGUAGAUCUGGCAGAAUCAGACUUCAGUGUCUCUGAACAGACUAAGGAUAAUCAAAAGCAUGAAUGUUCUUGUGAAUGCUCCUGAUUUGACUAAUAAAACAAGUGCACACAUUCCUCUUGCCAGAAUUAUUGCCUCCAUGAUACUGCCCUGCAUUAAUCUUUAUACCUUCUAUACAAUGCAAACCUAC
ensembl:lncRNA